CCGGAAGCGUCGCGGUACCCGCCAUCAUGGCGUUCGCGCCCCCAGGGCCCGAGGCCUCGUUCUUCGACGCGCUCGAGCGGCACAGGGCUUCCCUGUUGGCCGCGGCGAAGACAGGCGCAGGGGAGAGUCCUGCCGGGGCCACCCGCCUGGCCUCUAGUGCUGAGGUUCUUACAUCUAUAGAAAACAUUAUCCAAGACAUAAUCAAAAGCUUGGCAAGAAAUGAAGUGCCUGCCUUCACAAUAGACAACAGAUCGCGCUGGGAAAACAUAACUUUUGACGAUUCUGUCGGCCUUCAGAUGAUACCUCAGUGCACCACAAAAAGAAUCAAAAGCGAUUCACCAAAAUCAGUUAAAAAAUUUGCUCUGAUUCUGAAAAUACUGUCCAUGAUUUAUAAACUAGUACAGAGCAACACUUACGCAACCAAGAGAGACAUAUACUACACUGACAGCCAGCUCUUUGGGAACCAAGCUUCAGUGGACAACAUUAUAGAUGACAUUUCCUGCAUGCUGAAAGUGCCCAGGAGGAGUCUGCAUGUGUUAUCCACCUCCAAGGGGCUGAUUGCUGGCAACCUGAGGUACAUGGAGGAAGACGGUACCCGCGUGCAGUGCGCCUGCAGCGCCACGGCUACUGCUGUGCCAUCUAACAUCCAAGGGAUCCGGAAUCUGAUCACAGACGCCAAGUUCCUGUUAAUAGUAGAGAAGGAUGCAACAUUUCAACGGCUCCUGGAUGACAACUUCUGCAGCAGAAUGUCCCCAUGCAUCAUGGUCACGGGCAAGGGCAUCCCAGACCUGAACACAAGGCUCCUGGUGAAGAGGCUGUGGGACGCAUUUCGUCUUCCUGUGUUCACACUGGUAGAUGCUGAUCCACAUGGCAUCGAGAUAAUGUGCAUCUAUAAGUACGGAUCCAUGUCCAUGUCUUUCGAAGCCCACAGUCUCACCGUCCCAACUAUCAGAUGGCUUGGUCUCCUCCCUUCUGAUAUUAGAAGGUUAAACAUACCUAAGGAGAGUUUGAUUCCACUGACAAAGUGUGACCAUAUGAAACUGGACAGUAUCCUGAAGAGGCCUUAUAUUACCUACCAACCCUUCUGGAGAAAAGAGCUGGAAAUGAUGGCAGACUCUAAGAUGAAGGCGGAGAUCCAAGCCUUGACCUUCCUGUCGGCAGACUACCUUUCCAGAGUGUACUUACCCAACAAGCUGAGGUUUGGAGGGUGGAUUUAAGAUCACAGCUAGGCGGUGUGUACAUACCAGAGCCUUCACCUGCUUGUCUGAACUGGGAACACUGCGUGGAGGAAUACCUAGUCUUAACUCUGCAACGACUAGAUGUCACCUUGAGUCUGGAGACUGCUUCUCAUGUAUCCUGCAUGCACACUGCCAGGGGAAAGGCUAAGCCUGUGCUAAAUCAAGGCCCUGAUAUCAUACCCAUGGCAUUAAGACAGCUCCUGGACACACAGGAUACUGAAAAUUUUAUAUUGAGAAAAUUUUAAUAUGCUGUUGAUUUGACUUCCUUAUGAGACUUAUCAAGAUUAUUUAAAGCUUUUUAAAAUUACUAAUGUUUUCUUUAAAUUUAUACAUGAUACUAACAUGCAAUAAUGUCACUGAAUUUUGACAAGCUAAAAAAGAAAGUACAAGUUAUAAAUAUAUUUAACCUACAGAACAUCUGGGUUAGGCUAUAUUGUCAAAAUGGGAGGGAAAUACAAGACUUCAGUAGUCAUGAAAACUUGGAAAUAAAUUUAAAGAUAGCUUUCAGAUUCAUUCAGUUCACCUAAUUAAAUUAUCUAAACUUUACUCCUGGAAAUUCUCCUAAAAUAAUUUUCUAUUAUUUGGGGAAUGAAAAUGGAGGUUGGCUAUGCUACCCACCUUGAUUGGAUGCAGAUGAGAAGCUGCUGGUGCUAAAGUUUUGGGAACCAUCUAGAAUUCUAACUCACAAGACCAGCUUUUAGAAAGCAUUACCGCACAUUAGCUCUUUCAAAUGGCAGCUGGCAACUGACAUGCCCUCAAGGUGCCAUCGUCUCCUGGGUCCCUGUGGAAGAGCACAGGCUGGAGUCUGUUUGUAGUUAGGGUGAGUAGGGA